UGGAAUUGACCAAAAAUUUUGAUUUUAUUCAAAUAUAAGAUGGGCAAAAUGGUAACUUUACAAAUUUAACCUAAAAUAUUUAAAAAGAAAAGAAAAGAAUAGAAUAGAUCUAACAAAAAAAUAAUAAAAAUCAUCUUCUGCCCGGCCCUUAUGCAAUUCACCCAUCCACCACCACAUUGCAUCACCUUCACCACAAUACUGCCGUCGCCUCCAUACCAGCAGCACCUCUUUAAUCCAAUGUACCUGGUAGGGGGAAAUACCCUCCUAAAUUUUGCAUUGUUAGUGUAGAUUUCUUCCAUGUCCCUCCCAUUCUUCCUCUCCCAAAAUUGCAAAAUUGAAUGAUACUUUUCCUUUCUGAGCCACCCUAGAAUUUGGAAUAACAAAUCGUUUCUCCUCCAUAUUAUUGCAAAUUUAGGGAGAAAGUCUCAUUCCCCUAAAUUCGCAAAAUCAAGAGAAAACCCUCCUCUCCCUCCCAAUUUUGUCGUAAUUAGGGGAAGUAGCCCCUCCCCCUCCCCGCAUCCCUUCCUAAAUUCAUAAAAUCAGGGCGGAUAAAUUUUCAUUGAUUUUGCAAAUAACAUUGGGAAUUCAGGGAAUGAAAUUCUCUCCCUAAAUUCACAAAUCAGGUGGUGGAAGUUGGGUGGCUGCGGUUUUGUAUGGGUGGUGUUAGUGGCUAAAUAUAAAAGAGGAAUGUUUUGUUUGAAAUGAGAACUGUGUACGGUGGAGGCAACCUCGAUUGGGAGUGGUAGUGGUGGUUCCUACCGAGUUUGCUGAAGAGGAAGUGAAUUUUAUUAAUUUUUUUAAAAAUAAUUGUCAAAUAUUGAUAGCAGCAACACCUUACGAGAAAUAAUAUAUCCGUGUGGGUCAUUGCUGGAUUAGCAGGCGGGUAAUCACCAGAGCCGAAGGAGAGGAAGCUGGCAGGUGGCAACGGCUGCGGUGAUUAUUUUCCGUGGGGGUCGAAAAUGG
rnacentral:lncRNA from 1 species